CAAUGGUAGGCUACACUGAUGAGGGGCAGUCUUGGAGUAUUUAGCAGCCGAGCAUAUUGGCGAAUCAUCCUCCAUGGGAGAUAAUUCAGAGUCUAGCUGUACGACUAAUAAGGUUGGACAUGAAUACUCUCAAAACAUUGAUUUGGAUAGAUAUAUGUAACAAUUUGGGAGAACUCCUAUCGAGAUCGAUCAUGUAUGGGAGAAAACAAUUUACAACAAUGCAACAAGGUUUAGCAAUGCCAUUGGUACCAACGUUCGGGAAUAUUUUUCUGUUCGUUAUGGAUCAUGGAUAGAGGUACCAAUAGAAACAAGAGAGCUAGUUAAAAGUCGAUUAUUGAACCAUUUUGUGAUAGAGUUGUCCAGCGAACCGGUCAAUAUCAUCGAUGAACAGAUGAAAAUUUCGUUCAAAGAGUAUAGAGGGAAUUACAAAAACACUAUAAAAAAACAUGCAAGUCCUGAAAAGGCACGAGCACACCCA